UACGUAGGGGGCAAGCGUUGUCCGGAUUUAUUGGGCGUAAAGAGCGUGUAGGCGGCCAGGUAGGUCAGCUGUGAAAACUCGAGGCUCAACCUCGAGACGUCGGUUGAAACCACCUGGCUAGAGUACGAAAGAGGGUCGCGGAAUUCCCGGUGUAGAGGUGAAAUUCGUAGAUAUCGGGAGGAACACCGGUGGCGAAGGCGGCGACCUGGGUCGAGACUGACGCUGAGGCGCGAAAGCGUGGGGAGCAAACAGG
rnacentral:rRNA from 1 species